GCCUCCCUCCGCCGCCACUCACGACUCCGUACGGGAGGCGAGCAGGUGGGGAAGUAGUUAGGACAAGUACGGGGGAAACCCGUAGGAUCCAGCGACGCCGCGUGUGUGAAGAAGGCUGCGGUGUAAGCACUUUAGUGGGACAAAGCCACGGCUAAUACCGGUGGUCUUGAUUUAACCCAAACGAAAACGACACCGGCUAACUCUGUGCCAGCAGCCGCGGUAAUAC
rnacentral:rRNA from 1 species